rnacentral:tRNA from 2 species
GCCGAGGUAGCUCAGUUGGUAGAGCAAAGGACUGAAAAUCCUUGUGUCCGCAGUUCAAUUCUGCGUCUCGGCACCA